rnacentral:rRNA from 1 species
UACGUGGGGGGCAAGCGUUGUUCGGAAUUACUGGGCGUAAAGGGCUCGUAGGCGGCCAACUAAGUCGGACGUGAAAUCCCUCGGCUUAACCGGGGAACUGCGUCCGAUACUGGAUGGCUUGAGUGUGGGAGAGGGAUGCGGAAUUCCAGGUGUAGCGGUGAAAUGCGUAGAUAUCUGGAGGAACACCGGUGGCGAAGGCGGCAUCCUGGACCACGACUGACGCUGAGUGAGCGAAAGCCAGGGGAGCAAACGGG